CUCAUUCCUUCCCCGAUGCUUCUUUUUCCGUUUCUUCUUCCAUGCCAUUUUUUUAUUUUAGCCCAGAUUUUGUUCAGUAGCCUUGCCAUUGAUGGAAGCAGAUCUUUUUGUUUCAGUUCUCAAACCAUUGAGGUACAGGACCUAAGUAACUAGUCUAGCUUAUUGCAAACCCAACUUUCCAAAAUAAAAAAGAGACUAAGGUGAAUACCUGAAAAUUUGUUCAUAGAAAAAUGACACUGGGGGUUGAAGAAGAACCCGAAAAUUUGGAGGACACUAACCACGUGAUGAUUAUUAGCAACCCCAUAUAUGAAGGUAAUUAUUUUUAUUAUUUAUUGGCAUUCGGGUUCUACUUAUCUGUUAAUUUGAUUCAAGAAAUUGGAGUUUUAGUUUCAUUUUUCUUUUAUGAAAAGCUUGGAAAAUUUGUAUAUACCAUUUACUGGAGGUUUGUAAUUCUUAGAUUAAUAGAGUAAACAAAACGGUUUGAAUGAAACCCACUCGAUAUAAAUGUAUAUACCCCAUGCAUACAAACAAGCACAUACAUAUUUUUAUAGCUCUAAAAUCUUCAACGAAGUGGGAUAUAACUUUUAAAAACUUUUAAGAAGUGCAAUAUUUAUAAAUUUGUAAGCAAUUGAGAUUUCCUUUUUUUGUUUUUUUUUUUUUCUGCUACUCGGUCGUAUUGUCAUCUUGUUGUGCAUCUCUUUCAAAAUCUUGGUAUUUAAUUAUCUGAUCUUUGUGUUCCAUUACCUGUGUUUAAAUUCUUUGGGGAAGGAAUGGAAGAUUCAUUUAGAGAGUUGCUUAACCAGAUUCGAACACAUAAGGUAUCCUCUGCAUCCAAGUGUAGGUUUCAUAUGAAGAAAUUUAGUGUAUAUACCCACCCGAUGUUAGAAUUCUUGCGCUUGACAGGGUCAGCACUAUGAAGUGUUCAUAUUGUCCAGUUCAAAAUUUUUAAUUUUAUUUUUUAAAUUAUCUAAUUAUUGUAAUUGGCCUAGCUUUCCAAUAUUAUAUGCUACUGAAUGUUGCCACUGAUGAUAAUUGGAAGUUGCGGAAACAAUGUACUGCCUUAGACUGUAGCAAUUUAUAAUUUGAUUACUUAUUAAUUUGGUAAUGUAUGUGAAUAGUAGUGAGUAUGACAUCAUUGGAGUUUUAGCAAGAAAGCAUUGACAAUUACUUACAAAGACUAAAAAGUAUAAUUUUCUAAGUAUCCUUCCUCUGUAGUUUUCAAGUGACCUUGUGUUACCUUUAGGCCUGAUGCUACUGCACCUCUUGAUACUAAUGCAAUCCAAUUUUCCAUUGGCAAGAAAAUUUACAAAAGCAGCAAAUUAUGUCGUUACAAUGCACUAGUCAGGUAAAGCAUUACUUUUUUUCUGUUUCGAGAAAGUUUUUUAAGGUGUUAUUUACUUACUGAUAUUGGCAAACAUAAUAUCACCACGGAGUUGAAGCCGUUGGUUGAUGCGAAAAUAAAGUAGGUCCUCGGAGUUGACGACUUUGAUUUGGAGGGUGUGUUGCCAGAAGGGUUCUUGGAGAAAAUCAUUUAUGGGCAGCAAAGAUUGGGAAAGAAGGAUGAUAGCAAAGAUGAGUGUUUUGAUGAGUCUGCAAGUACAAGGCCAUACCUUUUUGAAGCUUGGGAGGUCAGGGAGAAGAGGAAGAUAGAAAAACCAUUGAUGAAUUGGAGGUUUUCUGCAUUGAAGAAUGAAAUUGACAUGAAAGACAAUCUUAAAUAGUGGGCUCAUAUUGUUGCUUCUGCAGUUAGAUGACGAACAUUCUUGUUCUAAGAUUUUUUGUACUUUUUUUCUGGUUUGGAUUUUGCUCCAAUUUUUUGGACACUAUUUGUAUAUAGUAGAUUUACCAGGUCAAUCAAUAUUGUUCUACAACUUGUAAAUGUGAAUAAAAAGUAGAAACAUUUUCAUGAUCA